GUAGGUGGCAAGCGUUGUCCGGAAUUAUUGGGCGUAAAGCGCGCGCAGGCGGUCCUUUAAGUCUGAUGUGAAAGCCCACGGCUCAACCGUGGAGGGUCAUUGGAAACUGGGGGACUUGAGUACAGAAGAGGAAAGCGGAAUUCCAAGUGUAGCGGUGAAAUGCGUAGAGAUUUGGAGGAACACCAGUGGCGAAGGCGGCUUUCUGGUCUGUAACGGACGCUGAGGCGCGAAAGCGUGGGGAGCAAACAGGAUUAGAUACCCUGGUAGUCCACGCCGUAAACGAUGAGUGCUAAGUGUUAGGGGGUUUCCCGCCCCCCUUAGUGCUGCAGCUAACGCAUUAAGCACUCCGCCUGGGGGAGUACGGCCGCAAGGCUG
rnacentral:rRNA from 1 species